GAUGAGUAUAGAAAUAAGACUUUAUGUGCAGAGAAUAUGAUGGUGUACAUGAAGAAGUCUAAAUAAUUUUAUUAGUCCACGUUUCCCAGAAAAACACAAGUAGUAGUAUACUAUAUAUAUACUAUAAUUGUGUGAACCAAUUCCACUACUAUAAUCGUGUGAACCAUUACUCUACAAUUCACAAUUAUGGAGUCUGAGAAGUCCCAUGAUCUGCCAUUUACAAGCUGGAGGCCCAGGAAAUCCAGUGGUGUAGUAUAAUUCGGUCUGCGCCCUUUGUUUGACUUCCCUUUUCCUUCUCUUUCUCUUUCUCCUUACAAUCUUUCUCUUCUGUUUGCUCUUCUUUCUCUUGUCUCUCUUAUCCUCUACUUCACACAAGUUCUCAAUCUUGCUGUUGUUGAAGAAAAGCAGAUGUCUGGUCUUUAACAUCAGAUAAAAUGUUGAUAAAAACCCUUGCAAGUCCCUCAUUCCAGCAUUAACUCCGAAGUCCAAAAUCAAAGGUCUCAUCUGAGACAAGGCAAGUCUCUUCUACCCAUAAGCCUGCAGGCUUAACUCCAUGUGGAAGCUGCCAAAGCUUAUGGCUUGCACCCUCUGAAGCAACAGUUCAAGCUGUACCUGGGCCCUAUUGAGCCAUGGCUGGAGAUAGAGUGGCUGGGACGCAGGAAGCAGUGUCCCAAGGAUAUGCGGUGUGGUGGGGUCCUGGUCUUGGCUCACAAAAACAUUCUUCUCUGCUAGGUCUCUGGGCCUGUGAUGGGAUAGGCUACCGGGAAAGUCUCUGAAAUGUUUUUGAGGCCUCCUCAUUGUCUUGGUUAUUAACAUUUGGAUUCUUUUUACUUAUGCAAAUUUUUACAGCCUGCUUGAAUUCCUUCCCUAAAAAAAUGGGCUUUUCUUUUCUACCAGAUGGCCAGGCUGCACAUCUUCUAAACUUUAAUGCUCUACUUCCCUUUUAAAUGUUAGUUCGAGUUUUAGGUCUUUGCUUUCCUCACACAUAUGAACAUAGGUUGUUAGAGGCA
rnacentral:lncRNA from 1 species